rnacentral:rRNA from 1 species
GUGAGGAAUAUUGGUCAAUGGGCGAGAGCCUGAACCAGCCAAGUCGCGUGAAGGAAGAAGGAUCUAUGGUUCGUAAACUUCUUUUGCAGGGGAAUAAAGUGCGGGACGUGUCCUGUUUUGUAUGUACCCUGAGAAUAAGGAUCGGCUAACUCCGUGCCAGCAGCCGCGGUAAUACGGAGGAUCCGAGCGUUAUCCGGAUUUAUUGGGUUUAAAGGGUGCGUAGGUGGUUUGAUAAGUCAGCGGUGAAAGUUUGCAGCUUAACUGUAAAAAUGCCGUUGAAACUGUCGGACUUGAGUGUAAAUGAGGUAGGCGGAAUGCGUAGUGUAGCGGUGAAAUGCAUAGAUAUCGCGCAGAACUCCGAUUGCGAAGGCAGCUUACUAAGCUACAACUGACACUGAAGCACGAAAGCGUGGGGAUCAAACAGGAUUAGAAACCCGUGUAGUCC